UUUCCGUAGGUGAACCUGCGGAAGGAUCAUUAAAGAGUAAGGGUCUUCGGGCCCGAUCUCCAACCCUUUGUUUAACUACCAUGUUGCUUUGGCGGGCCCGUCUCACGACCGCCGGAAGUUUGGCUUCGACCAAACUUCUGGCCCGUGCCCGUCAGUGGCCCCUUCAAAUUCUUGAUCAAGUAUGAUGUUUUAGUUAAAAACUUAAUAGUUAAAACUUUCAACAACGGAUCUCUUGGUUCUG
rnacentral:misc_RNA from 1 species